CCACCCGCACACAACCAACCCAGUGCUGCCUAGUGUAUGCAUACAUGUUCCCCACCUCUCUCUAGUCCCCCCCCCACCACCACACAACACAACACCACUGCCUAUGUAUGCAUACAUGUUCCCCACCUCUCUCUAGUCCCCCCCCCACCACCACACAACACAACACCACUGCCAUGUAUGCACAUGUUCCCCACCUCUCUCUAGUCCCCCCCCCACCACCACACAAACACAACAACCACUGCCAUGUUUGCAAUCAUGUUCCACCUCUUCUAGUCCCCCCCCACCACCACCACACACAAACAACACCACUGCCUAUAUGCUACAUGUUCCCACACUCUCUCUAGUCCCCCCCCCCCACCCCACACAACACAAACACCACUGUCCUAUGUAUGCAUACAGUUCCCCACCUCCCUAGUCCCCCCCACCACCACACACAACA
rnacentral:lncRNA from 1 species